GAUGAACGCUGGCGGCGUGCCUAAUACAUGCAAGUCGAGCGAACAGACGAGGAGCUUGCUCCUCUGACGUUAGCGGCGGACGGGUGAGUAACACGUGGAUAACCUACCUAUAAGACUGGGAAACUUCGGGAAACCGGAGCUAAUACCGGAUAAUAUAUUGAACCGCAUGGUUCAAUAGUGAAAGACGGUUUUGCUGUCACUUAUAGAUGGAUCCGCGCCGCAUUAGCUAGUUGGUAAGGUAACGGCUUACCAAGGCAACGAUGCGUAGCCGACCUGAGAGGGUGAUCGGCCACACUGGAACUGAGACACGGUCCAGACUCCUACGGGAGGCAGCAGUAGGGAAUCUUCCGCAAUGGGCGAAAGCUUGACGGAGCAACGCCGCGUGAGUGAUGAAGGUCUUCGGAUCGUAAAACUCUGUUAUUAGGGAAGAACAAAUGUGUAAGUAACUAUGCACGUCUUGACGGUACCUAAUCAGAAAGCCACGGCUAACUACGUG
rnacentral:rRNA from 1 species